AUGGAGAUCCGGUCCAUUCUCUUCUUCAUCGCAAUACUGGUCUCAAUACAUAGUAUUAGCUGCCAAAUCCGACUGGAUCAGUCUCCUACUCAGGUAAAAAGACCAGGAGAGAAGGUCAAGAUCUCAUGUAAAAUAAGCGGCUAUUCAAUGACGAGCAAUAACAUACACUGGAUACGCCAGAAACCUGGAGAGCCGCUGGAGUGGAUUGGGAGAAUGAACACUGGAACAGGAACCGAUGUUCUUUUUGCAGAGUCUCUGAAGGGCCAGUUCACCCUGACUGAAGACGUCCCCACCAGCAUGCAGUACUUAGAGGCCAAGAGUCUGAAAGCAGAGGACACUGCUGUUUACUACUGUGCACGAGAGGCACAGUGA